rnacentral:lncRNA from 1 species
UUACGUGCUUAGACUUAGUCUUAAAGCCUACAGGAAUUACUGAUCCUGAUGACAUUCCCUAGUUGUGAACAUCAUUUCUUGUCCUGCCUCUGAACCUUCAGCUUCACCUUUGGGGAAGAUAAUGGGAUGCCAUAUGGUGUCUUGGAUUGAGCUCCCUGGAAACAUACUCUGAGCCAGAGAAUUGCAUGCAGAAGAUUUAUUGCUAUCCACCAAAAUAUUGGUAAUCCUAACAAGACAGGAAGUUGAUGUUGGCAGCAGAUCCAACCAGAAGUGAUAGGGGAAGGGUUGUAAGAGAAACAUUUUCUGAACUGUGAUAUAAAGGCGAUGGAAAAUGCAGGCCUGUUAAGUGACAUAACACAUCCAUUCUUGAAUCCUGCAAAGGAUAUUAUGUGAGCAAAUGCACAGAGUGAAACCUAAAAAAGUUUCCAGUUUUAAAAUGCUGAAUGCUUGAGAGCUCUGCUUUUACCUGCUGUGAUUUAAAAGGCUAGAGGCCUCAUUUUGAGCCACUAAAAUUCAAAGUGAC